rnacentral:rRNA from 1 species
GGGGUGAAGUCGUAACAAGGUAACCGUAGGGGAACCUGCGGUUGGAUCACCUCCUUACCUUAAAGAACCUGCCUUUGCAGUGCUCACACAGAUUGUCUGAUGAA